AGCUUUAUUGGGGCAAAAGCAGCAACGUUCUGGGCCUACUGGGUCUUUAUUCAAGUAGGGUCAAAAUGUUGCUGCUUUUGCCCCAAUAACGCU